rnacentral:rRNA from 1 species
AGCAGCCGCGGUAAUACGUAUGUCGCAAGCGUUAUCCGGAUUUAUUGGGCGUAAAGCGCGUCUAGGCGGAAAAAUAAGUCUGAUGUUAAAAUGCGGGGCUCAACUCCGUAUUGCGUUGGAAACUGUUUUUCUAGAGUACUGGAGAGGUGGGCGGAACUACAAGUGUAGAGGUGAAAUUCGUAGAUAUUUGUAGGAAUGCCGAUGGAGAAGUCAGCUCACUGGACAGAUACUGACGCUGAAGCGCGAAAGCGUGGGGAGCA